rnacentral:rRNA from 1 species
UACGUAGGGCGCAAGCGUUGUCCGGAAUUAUUGGGCGUAAAGGGCUCGUAGGCGGUUUGUCGCGUCGGGAGUGAAAACACUGGGCUUAACUCAGUGCUUGCUUCCGAUACGGGCAGACUAGAGGUAUUCAGGGGAGAACGGAAUUCCUGGUGUAGCGGUGAAAUGCGCAGAUAUCAGGAGGAACACCGGUGGCGAAGGCGGUUCUCUGGGAAUGUCCUGACGCUGAGGAGCGAAAGUGUGGGGAGCGAACAGG